rnacentral:rRNA from 1 species
GCGGAGGAAAAGAAACCAACCGGGAUUGCCUUAGUAACGGCGAGUGAAGCGGCAAAAGCUCAAAUUUGAAAUCUGCUACCUUCGGUGGCCGAGUUGUAAUUUGUAGAAGGUAACUUUGGGGCUGGCUCUUGUCUAUGUUCCUUGGAACAGGACGUCAUGGAGGGUGAGAAUCCCGUGUGGCGAGAAGAUCAGUCCUUUGUAAAGUGCUUUCGAAGAGUCGAGUUGUUUGGGAAUGCAGCUCAAAGUGGGUGGUAAAUUCCAUCUAAAGCUAAAUAUUGGCGAGAGACCGAUAGCGAACAAGUACAGUGAUGGAAAGAUGAAAAGAACUUUGAAAAGAGAGUGAAAAAGUACGUGAAAUUGUUGAAAGGGAAGGGCAUUUGAUUAGACAUGGUAUUUGAAGGUCUUGGCUCCUUGUGGGCUGGGCUCCCUUCUUUUACUGGGCCAGCAUCAGUUUUGGCGGUAGGAUAAUAGCAGAAGAACGUGGCACCUCUCGGGGUGUGUUAUAUCUUAUGUUGAUACUGCCAGCCGGGACUGAGGUAACGCGUCUUUGACAAGGAUGCUGGCGUAAUGAUUAAAUGCCGCCCGUCUUGAACCACGGACCA